ACCAAGACUACGAUGGAUAGGGUUUCUGAGAGGAAGGCCCCCCACAUGGGAAUUGAGACACGGUCCAAACUCCUACGGGAGGCAGCAGUGAGGAAUAUUGGUCAAUGGACGAGAGUCUGAACCAGCCAAGUAGCGUGAAGGAUGACUCCCCUAUGGGUUGUAAACUUCUUUUAUAUGGGAAUAAAGUUUUCCACGUGUGGGAUUUUGUAUGUACCAUAUGAAUAAGGAUCGGCUAACUCCGUGCCAGCAGCCGCGGUAAUACGGAGGAUCCGAGCGUUAUCCGGAUUUAUUGGGUUUAAAGGGAGCGUAGGUGGAUUGUUAAGUCAGUUGUGAAAGUUUGCGGCUCAACCGUAAAAUUGCAGUUGAAACUGGCAGUCUUGAGUACAGUAGAGGUGGGCGGAAUUCGUGGUGUAGCGGUGAAAUGCUUAGAUAUCACGAAGAACUCCGAUUGCGAAGGCAGCUCACUAGACUGCAACUGACACUGAUGCUCGAAAGUGUGGGUAUCAAACAGGAUUAGAUACCCUGGUAGUCCACACAGUAAACGAUGAAUACUCGCUGUUUGCGAUAUACAGUAAGCGGCCAAGCGAAAGCAUUAA
rnacentral:rRNA from 1 species